rnacentral:lncRNA from 1 species
CAUCUGGUUCCAUUUUAUUAAAAAACAAAACCAAAAGAAAUUUUGCAGUGAAAUUUCCUGGAAUUCACAACCCUCAUUUAAAAAUCCUUAUAGUUGCAAUAUUUUUUUUUUAGCCAGUACGUAAGAACACGAUUGCACUUAUUUACAUGAUAGUCUUCUAUAUAACAAAAAUAACCAUGUUGUAAUGACUGUUUCCAACUAUCACCCUUGUUUCAUCACUAGCCCAUUAUGAGACAAGUUGAUUACGCUCUCCAAGUACAAAGAGAAUAGAAUAAAGCAAAAUAAAAGUCUGUGUCUCCUAAUAGAAGACAAAUUCCUUUAAAGACAGUUACUUUUUUUUUUUUUUCAAUUUCUUUGUAUUUCAAGAGGGAUAUAAAGUGCUCUGAAAGGAGUAGGGUAGGUGCCUGAGGUGGGGAAGAAGGAAAGAAAUUUAUACAGAAAAAAUUUAAAAAACUACACUGCCUUAACUAAUCAUCUCAAUAUGCACACAACUUUGUACAGAAGAUUAGUUUUGGGUAAAAACGCUACAUAAUUCACUAGUACUUAUUUCGGCAAUUAAGAACUGAAGUCCAAAUGAAAGACUCCCCAUGCAAAUGUCAUCAGGAGUGACUUUUUUGUGAUUUUGGGUCAGAUGCUAUAUAAAUCAAGGAAGCUCAGUCACACAGUCUGAAUAUGGAGAGGAUAGACAAUGCCGAGAUGGAACCAUCAUCUACUACCUGCAGACUAGCCAGAAAGACCUUGUGGGGAAGCUAAGUAGACUUUACCCCAACAUCAAUCAUUUUACAACAAAAGCAUUUUGUUGCAAGCAUUUGUUUACAAUAAAAGUAAUUUGUGUUAGGAUGGAAAAAAAGCCAUUGGAAUUUCCUCUUGCUAGUAGGGAGGAAGAUUGAUUUAUGAUGUCAUGUCUGAUUAUUUAUAAUUGUAAAUUCAUUAUUUGCAGAUUUUUUUCUAGUGGGAAAUAAUAUGCUGUACAAAGUGGUUAAAAUAAGUUAUUUCUUUUUCACAUUUUUGCAACUGGCAAUUGCUGGUUAUUGUCUGCAGUCUACAAAACUGAGUAUCACAUAUGUACUGCUUGAGAGUUUCCCCUGGAAACCAGAAUAAUCAUCCUCCCAGCUCAUGAACAUUUUAAAGAACAAUACCCAUUUUUUUUUCCAGAAAAUGGAUGGAAUGUAACUUUUCACAAAUACAAAAUUAUUUCAUUUUCUAAAUGUAAGGGACACCCCUCUAUAAAAAUAACAGUCCCUCCCCACUCCCACCCCUACAUCUCCUUCUAAUUAUAAAAUGGUAGAACCAUCUCAGAUUACUAAUGUGAAAGCAGGAAGUAAAUAUAUUAUGUACAUGUACAAAACACAUCAGUAUUUCACACCAUUUACAUUCAUAUGAAGUCUUUUUAUUGAUCUUCCUUUGCAAUUUCACAAGAAUAAAGUUGAGAUAACUUACAAAAACAAGCAGUCCCUUGCUUAUAACUGCACAAACAUUCUAGCCAGAGGCAUCUUCUUUGCAAACAGAGCAACAUUAUCCUUCAACAUUUUGCAGAAGUAAGGGCUGCUGACAGUGAGAAGAUCUGUGGGGUCUCCUUCAGCUUUUUAGAGUUUGUGACACUCUUUCCUCAUUUGAUAAAUGUAGACCAAAUUCUCAACUACCGAAGAAAUUGUAUGAUGAAAGGCAAGUAACUGGUUGUUGAAUUCAUGACCCAAGUCAAAUUAAUCUGCUGCAAGAAUAAUUGCGAUUACUCCAGCAGAGGGCACUCUGCUCCUUGCAAUAACAUCCUACUGAACAGUAAGUACCAUGGAUGCCAACACAAAUUCAGACCGAAAAGUCCAUGUAUGUGUUAGUUCUUCAACUGCUCUACUAUACCCAUUAGUACAGGCAACAGUUUUGUAUCUUCUUCGAAAGAGCAGGAUAUACUAUAUUUAGCUAGCUCUUAUACAUGAAAAUUCUUUGGCUAUUUAAAAUCUUCACAUUCUCAAAGAGAACAAUGUUCUGAGUUCAGUAAAGCGCUAGAUUUGUUGGAAAGUUUUGAAGGAAAAGGGGACUAAACACUAGACUUUAAAGAUGGUGUGGUACUAAGGCCACAAUUCAUUUUUUAGAUUUCGGGAUUUAGUAAGGUCAAUCAACAGUCUGCAACAGAAAACCCCAUAAGGUUUAAUGGUUUCAUUCAACCAUGCAACCCACCUUCGCUUUUAUUUAUGAGAACAUUGGGAGAAAAUUCAACUAGUCAAUGGAAGAAACAUGUGUUCAUUUGGAUGGUGAUCAGUCUUUGGUUUAUAUAGCACACAUGGUCCCCACAUUACCCUGCUUCUCCAAGCCUGUCACUUCACUAAGGAUAACAGACCACAGAUAUUCUGCCAAGCAAUGACUUUGGGUAAUUGAGAUUAAGCGACCUUCUCUAAGGAUUUUUCUCCCUCACUGUGUUCAGACAUUGCAGACCUCUUAAUAGACGUGUAUAUUUUUGUCUUAUCAUCAGCAAAUAUUUAUCAGGUGAAGAGAGAUGUGACUGACCUUAGCAGGUUCUUGUAGAACAAGCAGGAUUGCAAUCAAAUUGCUCGAUAUUAAGGGGCCACGUCUAGCAUCUGGACUUGCUUCAUUAGUUCUGGGAUGAUAACUUGGUGUCAAUAAAAGGUGUAGAGUGGAAGAGUGUGGCUAUUGAUCUGUGGGUCUUUAAAAAUUAAUGUUCCUAUUACACAGGGUCUGGGGUUGAGUGAGGACAAAAGGAGGGAAAAGGAAGAGCUAAGGGAUGAUGAGAAACUCAUAUUAGCUUCUUAGAAUUAAUUUAUUUUUCAGGCAAUCCAGACCUUCUUUGCAAUCAUGAGUAUUUUAACUCAUGAGUAUUUAAUUCCUUAAAAAUACAAACUCCCCAAAACCCAGGUCAGCUCUAAACCUAGGGAUGAGCAUUUACUUGGGGACAGCACGCACAUUUUGUUAAGCACAGAAGCUUUCCAGCCCUGCUUUGACCAGCUCCCUGAUCAGAGAUCCUGCCAUCCUCUUUUCUUACUUCCUGCAGGGUGACACUCCCAUCCCAUUUUAACUGCCAACAUCAAACGUAUUCAUCCAUGCAAUGGCAUGGAUGAAGGACCUCGGUGGCCAAGAGCACUGCAUGAAGAACCAUGCAUCCCCAUCUUAAGAGGGUAGUCUCUUCGUGUCUCUUUGUCAGUCUUCAGGAAUUAGUGGCCCUCAGAUCACUUACGAUGAGCAAGCACUUGUGCUAAGUAGUUAGGAAGAAUGGGCAUUCCAUCAGGAUAUUUCACCAGGAUGAAGGAAAUGUUAAAAACAAGAAAACAAAACAAAACAAAACAAAAUGAACAUUUUUGGACAGAGCUUUGCCUCCAUGAUUCUGAUCAUUACCAUGUGAUGUCAAAAAUGGGUAGGUACCUUUGCCGCUUUUAAUUUUCUGCCUUCUCCAGACUCUACCUCUCCCUGUGUAGAUGACCAGAGUUGACACUGCAGGGGAUAUCUAACCCUAGAGAUUAAGUCAAUGUUCAAAAGCUGUAUUCAUAGUCAGGGCUCAGCUCUUCCAAAGGGACUAGCCACAUAGGAGGUAGCAGUUCCUAAAGGUGACCCUAAAUUAUUUUGAGUGAAUGCAAAUGCUCCUUUUCUUCCCCAUAGCAUUGGGGUGGCAGGUGGAUGCUGACUUGGAGUAAAAUGCUGGCUGUUGGAGGUGGUCAUAAUUCACCAAGUAGAGACCGGAUGAUCACAGGCCCCCAAAGAUUCUUUUUCAAGAAGGCCACAUAAAGUCUUGCAUUUCUCAUUCUUUCCUCCCAAGUUCGUGAGUUUUCACUACAGCUGUGGGACUGGGGGACACUGGGAAAGGACUUUCACCAACCAUGAACAAGAAGAAGGGGUUGAGGUAAAGUUGGGUGAUUUCAGUCUGGAGUUCUCUUUGGCUCCUAAGUGCCACAUAUCAGUCCGAGGGUUUGCCAUAGAAGUGAGGGGUAUAAUUUUGUUUCAGCACCAAAUCAGCAUGGUUUGUGUGAGUUUUAAGUAACAACUGGUCAGAGGAGUAACAACAAAUGGUCAUGGACAUCAAUGAUAUGGUUAGAAAGUUCAAGCAGAAAUUUUAAAAAGGGUGCCUGAAUCUUUAUUCACUACAAAAUAAAUGGACCUCUGGGCCUCUCAUUAGGCGACUUGGGUGGUGUCCAGUUCUCCCUGGAGGUAAUUAAGCUUUUAACCUUCUUUUCUUUUGUAAGGGUCGGGGGAUCUUGUGAGAAUACUGGAGGAACUCUAGACCUGCAUUGUCCAAUUGGCAGCCACUAGCCACAUGUGACUAUCCAAAUUGAGAGGUGCUGUGAGUGUAAAAGACACAAUGGAUUUAGAAGACUUAGUACACAAAAGCAUGUAAAACAUGUCAUUAAUUUACAUUAGUGACAUGUUGAAACAAUAUUAGGUUAAAGUACAUGAUUAAAAUUAUCUUUACCUGUUUCUUUUUACACUUUAAAAUGUGGCUAGUAGAAAAUUUAAAAUUAUGUCUGUGACUUGCAUUACGUUUCUGUUGGACAGUGCUAGUCUAGACUCUUGCUAUAGAAAAAUGCACAUCUGCAAAUACACAUACAGUCUGCAUUUGCUUCUAGAGGGUACACACACCCUCUGACACUCAUCUGUAGACUACCAGGUCUCCAGGUCAGUCUCUUCUUUGGGGGAGGUAAAGAAGGCUAUAAGGAAGGGCUGUUCCCCUUUCUUCUGAAAGAGAAACUUUCUGGUUAAGCUUUUUUUUUUUCUUUUUUUUUUUUUUUUUAAACUAUCAAAGCUACAGGAAAAUCCUCCAGAAACAAACUUUGGUAAGUAGUGAAUGGCAAAGGCUCAGGGGGU